rnacentral:rRNA from 1 species
UGUUACCUACGGGGGGCAGCAGUGGGGAAUAUUGCACAAUGGGGGGAACCCUGAUGCAGCGACGCCGCGUGGGCGAUGGAGUAUUUCGGUAUGUAAAGCCCUAUCGGCAGGGAAGAAGCUGACAGUACCUGACUAAGAAGCACCGGCUAAAUACGUGCCAGCAGCCGCGGUAAUACGUAUGGUGCAAGCGUUAUCCGGAUUUAAUGGGUGUAAAGGGAGCGCAGGCGGCGCGUUAAGCCUUGUGUGAAAGCCCGCGGCCCAACCGCGGGACUGCAUUGGGGAC